rnacentral:rRNA from 1 species
CAGCAGUCGCCGCGGUAAUACGGAGGGUGCAAGCGUUAUCCGGAUUUAUUGGGUUUAAAGGGUCCGUAGGCGGAUCUGUAAGUCAGUGGUGAAAUCUCACAGCUUAACUGUGAAACUGCCAUUGAUACUGCAGGUCUUGAGUAAAUUUGAAGUGGCUGGAAUAAGUAGUGUAGCGGUGAAAUGCAUAGAUAUUACUUAGAACACCAAUUGCGAAGGCAGGUCACUAAGAUUUAACUGACGCUGAUGGACGAAAGCGUGGGGAGCGAACAGGAUUAGAUACCCCAGUAGUCCCUGUCUCUUAUAC